CUUACGUCAUGCCUACCUGUCCGGACCACAAGUGCAUCGCUUCUUUCUUACAACUUCAUGAGGGCUCUGCUGCCGGAAUUGCCCAACUGUGACAUCCUAACCGUUUAGUUAUGUCUGAAUGGAAGUGUCAACAAUUGUGUUCGUGAUUGUUCUUGCCACUUACGGAAAUACGGCGACGGGGAAAUUGUUAGGUAAUUCACGAUCGGCAGUUAAAACAUUCAACCCGGCUGGAAUGUAUCUCUUUUAUCUAGUAAGGUUGUUGCAGCUAACUUUUUGCACUGAAGUGACGUCUUCCUCGUGGAGUAUAGGAGAAUCCCGUAUAUCGUCUGUUUCACUUCGUGAUUCUCCAUUACUCCUAUGGAGGAGGAUGUCGCAAAUUAUUCAACAUGGCCAUUCGGCCUAUUUUUUUUAUUUUUAGCGUUACGUUUCAAUAAUUUUGGACAAUAGAGAUUGGACGAGUUGU